GCUAGUGUAGCUUAGCCUAAAGCAUGACACUGAAGAUGUUAAGAUGAGCCCUAGAAAGCUCCGCAAGCA
rnacentral:tRNA from 1 species